AGAGUUUGAUCCUGGCUCAGGAUGAACGCUGGCGGCGUGCCUAACACAUGCAAGUCGAGCGAUUCUCUUCGGAGAAGAGCGGCGGACGGGUGAGUAACGCGUGGGUAACCUGCCCUGUACACACGGAUAACAUACCGAAAGGUAUGCUAAUACGGGAUAACAUAAGAAAUUCGCAUGUUUUUCUUAUCAAAGCUCCGGCGGUACAGGAUGGACCCGCGUCUGAUUAGCUAGUUGGUGAGGUAACGGCUCACCAAGGCGACGAUCAGUAGCCGACCUGAGAGGGUGAUCGGCCACAUUGGAACUGAGACACGGUCCAAACUCCUACGGGAGGCAGCAGUGGGGAAUAUUGCACAAUGGGCGAAAGCCUGAUGCAGCAACGCCGCGUGAGCGAUGAAGGCCUUCGGGUCGUAAAGCUCUGUCCUCAAGGAAGAUAAUGACGGUACUUGAGGAGGAAGCCCCGGCUAACUACGUGCCAGCAGCCGCGGUAAUACGUAGGGGGCUAGCGUUAUCCGGAUUUACUGGGCGUAAAGGGUGCGUAGGCGGUCUUUUAAGUCAGGAGUGAAAGGCUACGGCUCAACCGUAGUAAGCUCUUGAAACUGGAGGACUUGAGUGCAGGAGAGGAGAGUGGAAUUCCUAGUGUAGCGGUGAAAUGCGUAGAUAUUAGGAGGAACACCAGUAGCGAAGGCGGCUCUCUGGACUGUAACUGACGCUGAGGCACGAAAGCGUGGGGAGCAAACAGGAUUAGAUACCCUGGUAGUCCACGCCGUAAACGAUGAGUACUAGCUG
rnacentral:rRNA from 1 species